rnacentral:lncRNA from 1 species
UAUGUCAGUUUAUUUGUUAUGUAAGUUUAUUUGUUUUUUUUGCUCGUUUGUUAUGCUAGUUAGUUAGUUAGUUAGUUUGUUUGUUUGUUUGUUUGCGUCCUCUGUUUUUUUUCUUCACUUUUUACAAUUUUCCAUUUUUAGGUUUUCUGUUCAUAACAGUUGAGUUGUCAGCAGUAGAGUACGAUAAAUUUUUGAAUAUUGUUAAAUGCGUGUUUGAACAGAAAAAGAAAAAUAUAUUUAUUGUCUAUGAGAAUUCGUGUAGUAUCGAAAAUAACGUACUGUGCAGCGAUAAAACUGCGCGAUAUGUAACAUCAGUAUGUUUUAAGUUAGGGCCUUACUAAUUUGUUGUCAUUCAUAUAAUAGCAAUUAUAUAUUAUGAAACAGGUGAAAGUAAUAUUUUAAACAUUUUCUUUUCUUUUGUUUUUGUAAAUGCAUAUAACUAUGUAUGACUAUA